AGUAACGCGUGGGUAACCUGCCCUUAAGUCUGGGAUACCAUUUGGAAACAGAUGCUAAUACCGGAUAAAAGCUACUUUCGCAUGAAAGAAGUUUAAAAGGCGGCGUAAGCUGUCGCUAAAGGAUGGACCUGCGAUGCAUUAGCUAGUUGGUAAGGUAACGGCUUACCAAGGCGAUGAUGCAUAGCCGAGUUGAGAGACUGAUCGGCCACAUUGGGACUGAGACACGGCCCAAACUCCUACGGGAGGCAGCAGAA
rnacentral:rRNA from 1 species